UACGUAGGGGGCAAGCGUUGUCCGGAUUUAUUGGGCGUUAAAGAGCGUGUAGGCGGUUAGGUAGGUCCGUUGUGAAAACUCGAGGCUCAACCUCGAGACGCCGAUGGAAACCAUCUAACUAGAGUCCGGAAGAGGAGAAUGGAAAUUCCUGGUGUAGCGGUGGAAAUGCGCAGAUAUCAGGAAGAACACCCGUGGCUAAGGCGGUUCUCUAGUACGGUACUGACGCUGAGACGCGAAAGCGUGGGGAGCGAACAGG
rnacentral:rRNA from 1 species